GAUGAACGCUGGCGGCGUGCCUAAUACAUGCAAGUCGAGCGAACAGACGAGGAGCUUGCUCCUCUGACGUUAGCGGCGGACGGGUGAGUAACACGUGGAUAACCUACCUAUAAGACUGGGAUAACUUCGGGAAACCGGAGCUAAUACCGGAUAAUAUAUUGAACCGCAUGGUUCAAUAGUGAAAGACGGUUUUGCUGUCACUUAUAGAUGGAUCCGCGCCGCAUUAGCUAGUUGGUAAGGUAACGGCUUACCAAGGCAACGAUGCGUAGCCGACCUGAGGGUGAUCGGCCACACUGGAACUGAGACACGGUCCAGACUCCUACGGGAGGCAGCAGUAGGGAAUCUUCCGCAAUGGGCAAAAGCCUGACGGAGCAACGCCGCGUGAGUGAUGAAGGUCUUCGGAUCGUAAAACUCUGUUAUUAGGGAAGAACAAAUGUGUAAGUAACUAUGCACGUCUUGACGGUACCUAAUCAGAAAGCCACGGCUAACUACGUG
rnacentral:rRNA from 1 species